GACUGCUAAUACCGAAUGAUGUCUUCGGACCAAAGAUUUAUCGCCCAAGGAGGGGCCCGCGUCCGAUUAGGUAGUUGGUGGGUAAUGGCCUACCAAGCCGACGAUCGGUAGCUGGUCUGAGAGGAUGAUCAGCCACACUGGGACUGAGAUACGGCCCAGACUCCUACGGGAGGCAGCAGUGGGGAAUAUUGGACAAUGGGGGCAACCCUGAUCCAGCAAUGCCGCGUGAGUGAUGAAGGCCUUAGGGUUGUAAAGCUCUUUUGCCAGGGAAGAUGAUGACUGUACCUGGAGAAUAAGCCCCGGCUAACUUCGUG
rnacentral:rRNA from 1 species